UCCAGACUCCUACGGGAGGCAGCAGUGAGGAAUAUUGGUCAAUGGCCGUAAGGCUGAACCAGCCAAGUAGCGUGAGGGAAGACUGCCCUAUGGGUUGUAAACCUCUUUUAUGCGGGGAUAAAGGUGUCCACGUGUGGAUGUUUGCAGGUACCGCAUGAAUAAGGACCGGCUAAUUCCGUGCCAGCAGCCGCGGUAAUACGGGGGAUGCGAGCGUUAUCCGGAUUUAUUGGGUUUAAAGGGUGCGUAGGCGGCGCUUCAGGUCAGCGGUGAAAUACCGGGGCUCAACCCCGGGGCUGCCGUUGAAACCGGAGCGCUAGAAUUCCGAUGCCGUCGGAGGAAUGUGUGGUGUAGCGGUGAAAUGCAUAGAUAUCACACAGAACACCGAUUGCGAAGGCAUCUGACGAAUCGGAGAUUGACGCUGAUGCACGAAAGCGUGGGUAUCGAACAGGAUUAGAUACCCGAGUAGAC
rnacentral:rRNA from 1 species